CAGCCCUGGUAUUAAAACAGGAAGCCCUGGCUCUGAUGGGAGCUUAAAAAGUUGACUUUUUGUGAGGUUAUAGAUUAAUUUCUCCCUGUAGCAUCUCAAAU